rnacentral:rRNA from 1 species
GCGUGAGUGAUGAAGGCCUUAGGGUUGUAAAGCUCUUUUACCCGGGAUGAUAAUGACAGUACCGGGAGAAUAAGCUCCGGCUAACUCCGUGCCAGCAGCCGCGGUAAUACGGAGGGAGCUAGCGUUGUUCGGAAUUACUGGGCGUAAAGCGCACGUAGGCGGCUUAUCAAGUCAGGGGUGAAAUCCCGGGGCUCAACCCCGGAACCGCCUCUGAAACUGGCAAGCUAGAAUCUUGGAGAGGUCAGUGGAAUUCCGAGUGUAGAGGUGAAAUUCGU